rnacentral:sRNA from 1 species
CGAUAGUUUGCGUUAGGGAUUGAAGCGGAAAUCCUUUUUGCGUCGCAGCGAAGCGAAGACGCGAAAAGAUUGCAGCGGAAAGCCCGGCCGCGA